UACGUAGGGGGCAAGCGUUGUCCGGAAUCAUUGGGCGUAAAGAGCGUGUAGGCGGCCAGAAAAGUCCGCUGUGAAAACUCGAGGCUCAACUUCGAGCUGUCGGUGGAAACUUUCUGGCUAGAGUCCGGAAGAGGAGAAUGGAAUUCCUGGUGUAGCGGUGAAAUGCGCAGAUAUCAGGAGGAACACCGAUGGCGAAGGCAGGUCUCUGGGCCGAUACUGACGUGAGGAGCGAAAGCGUGGGGAGCGAACAGG
rnacentral:rRNA from 1 species